rnacentral:rRNA from 1 species
GGUAGUAGUGGGUGUAGCGUACCUACUAGCCUACGACGGGUACGGGUUGUGAGAGCAAGAGCCCGGAGAUGGAUUCUGAGACACGAAUCCAGGCCCUACGGGGUGCAGCAGGCGCGAAAACUUUACAAUGCUGGCAACAGCGAUAAGGGAACCUCGAGUGCCAGGUUACAAAUCUGGCUGUCGAGAUGCCUAAAAAGCAUUUCAUAGCAAGGGCCGGGCAAGACCGGUGCCAGCCGCCGCGGUAACACCGGCGGCUCGAGUGGUAACCGUUAUUAUUGGGUCUAAAGGGUCUGUAGCCGGCCGGAUAAGUCUCUUGAGAAAUCUGGCAGCUUAACUGUCAGGCUUUCAGGAGAUACUGUCUGGCUCGAGGCCGGGAGAGGUGAGAGGUACUUCAGGGGUAGGGGUGAAAUCUUGUAAUCCUUGAAGGACCACCAGUGGCGAAGGCGUCUCACCAGAACGGACCUGACGGCAAGGGACGAAAGCUAGGGGCACGAACCGGAUUAGAUACCCGGGUAGUCCUAGCCGUAAACGAUACUCGCUAGGUGUCGGCCACGGUGCGACCGUUGUCGGUGCCGUAGGGAAGCCGUGAAGCGAGC